CUGGUCUAGAACUCCUGACCUCAAGUGAUCUGCCCACCUUGGCUUCCCAAAGUGCUGGGAUUACAGAUGUGAGCCAGUACACCCAGCUGGAUGCGAGAUUUUAUCAAAUCUUUGUAGAAACAUGUAUUUUUGUUCUUUGGGAUUGAUUAUUCCAGGAUAACCCUAAUCUUUAAUGACACUUGGAUGUGAUCAGACUUUACCAGAUUCGUCAAAGGCUACUGAAUAAAACAAACUAUCUUGAACACUGGUAAUUGUGAAUUGUUUUUGGAGGAACUGUUCUUUCUAACCACAUUUGAUAAAUACAUUAACUAUGUGGUUUUCAAAAUAUCACCUCAAUUCUUUGCACAUGCAAUGUAAUUUUGCAAAUACUAAGCAGGUAGCUAGCGUUAAUGAUUGUAUCAAAUGAUCGCAUUGAAAGUGCCAGACAGCUGCACCACAUUUGUAAGGAGGGACCAUGGGGAGCAUAGCAUUUAGCCUCUGUUGUGCUUCUUAACCAUAAUAGAAUGCAUCACCUCCCAUUAAAGCUAUAUUUAAGAGUUGUGUUCUCCGCAUGUUUAUUUUUCAGGACUAACAAGUUUCUCUUUUGACUCAUUUCUAACAAACGGUGUAGUCAUAUUUUCCACAUAUCCACAAAUAAUGUUAAAACUUGAAAAUUAACAUUUGGAGUUGAUGUUGCUACAAACCUAAAAAGAGAUGCACUUUGUGAUUCACCACCAAUGUGUUAAGCGUCAAAUUCAUCUUCACAUUCAAUUAAUUAACUGUCCCUUUCUUUGUAGGCAAUUUAAACAAAGUAUAAUAAGAUCUACAACUGAAAAAACAAUCUACCUUCAGUUGCAGGUAAUUUUGGGAGGAAUAUAAUUUCAGAGAACAAGAGAGUUCUUGGAAAGUGUGUUUCCACAUUAGAGAUAAAAUAGUUUAGUAAAUUAAACUGGUAGUUAGGAGGGAGGAAUUGUGGAGUUCUGCUGCUCCUUGAUCUUAAGGAGGUCUUUUGACUUAUCCCACAUGUGGACAGGCCAGACACCUCAUAUACCUCUGCCACACAGGAACUAGCCUUGCAGCCAAAGAGUUUCCUUUCUCCCCACACUGUUUGUCCAAAGCUGGUGGAAUAACCUGUUUCUCCUUUAGAUUAGAUAAGAUCAGGCUGAAUAGAGAAAACCAAGAAUGUUUGGGAUUUCACUGCCUCCUUCAAAACUAGAAAGAUGCUUAACAAUCUGCUAAGAUUAAAACAAGUUUCAGGUAUUCUGUUAUAAGCAACAGAAAAUGGACUAAGACAGAAAAAGGUACUGAGAAAGGGGUGUUGCUGAUAUCAAAUUCCUGAAAAUGUGAAAGCAGCUUUGGAACUGAGUAAUGAGCAGAGGCUUGGAAGAAUUUUGAGGAGCAGGCUAGACAAAGCCUAGAUUCUGGUGAAGGCUUGGAAGAAAA